CCAGGCCAGAGCACAGAGACAGCUUCCCAGGCUUGCUCCUUUCUCCUUCUCUUUCUCCUACUCUGUUUUUCUGUGUGUUUUUUUCUCCUCUUGUUUUGUAGUUGCGGGUUUUUAUGUUGGUUUUUGCUUUUUUUGUUGUUUUAUUUUUUAAGACCUCUGUCCAGGAACAAAGUUCUGACCUCAAAAAAUCACACAGCUCUGCCUGGCUCUUGCUUAGCCAUUGCUGGGAGACAAGAAAGUGAAAAGAGGUUUCAGUUACAUGAUUCCUUGGGACGGCUCGUGGGGGUCCAUUGGAGUGUCUGACACUGCCCUGUGUCUAGCUGUAUGCAUUGCACAUCUCAUGCAGCUCUGCAUUAAGAUGUUGGGUGCAUUGCCACAGCUGUGACAGCCACCAGAACAUCCCCUGCGCACCAGCAGUCAAUGCUGGGUGCUGGCAAGUGAAGGGAAUGAGCCAGAGCAGCUGAUGGCUGUGGGUUUCACCUGUGAAUGGCUGAUAAAAGGGCAGGGCUGGCUCAGAGCUCAGUUUCAUGCCUGUGGAGGUGGGAGCUGCUUUGUUGUGCAUCCUGCCCAAGGAGAAACAGGACUGAACUUUAACAGUGACAUCUUGCAGAGAGGAUGGAUGGAGAAAGCAACAGCAUUUACUGGAUGCUGAUGUGCUGGUAAGACCCUUCUGGGUGUUCCUUGAUAGAGCCAGGCUUCGGAGCAUGUAUGUGCUGUGAUGCAUGCAGUGACAGAGAUGGAGCAGAUGUGGCCCUCCGGGACAGACCACCCCACACCCUCUCUAUGCAUGGCCUGUGUUUGCCCUAAUGAGGCUGGAGGUAGAAUGCCCUGUGCUGAUGCCAGGGCUUGGUCUUUGGGCUUGUGCUUAUGCAUGCUGCUGCAGCACCCCUAUAAGCUGAGGCUUGGUGUGCACUGCUUCUGUCCCAUAAUCUGAUAAAGCCCCAGCUGUAGUCCCUGUAAGAGGCUCCAUCCUCUUGAGCUCCUUUGCAGCUCACAAUUAGCUCAGGGUGCUGCACGUGAAGGUUCAGAAAAGAGCUUACAUUCUCCAUGGGGAAGCAAAAACGCAGAAGCUGAUUCUGCCUGGCACUGCCAUCUGUGGAGCUGCCCACGCAGGCAUGUGCCCCAUUGGAGCCUCUGCUCCCAUGUGUGCUCCUACAGAACAUAUGGUGCUCUUCUAGGUAUGGAUACUGAUUUUUCUCUCCGGCAGCUUUCUGCUCUCUGUACAGACAGCAGCUCCAGCUCUUCUGAGGCAACUCGUGACCCUGCAGCCACAGCAGAGCUGUUGUUUAUUCACAGCAGAUGGGAUCAGUGAGUGUUUCCCAAAUUACUUUCUGAGCUGGGACUUCUUGUUUCAUUUGGUCCUGGUGAGUCCUGAUUAGUCACAACAUGACUCUGAUCCCCCAGGUGUUCAAUGGCUGUUGGUAGGGCUGAAAACCCCCCUUAUUUGCUAUUUGCUUGCUGGGGAAGGCAUUGGACAUGCUUCUCACUGCCAUACCUGCAUCACUGUGAGCACGGAGGUCAGUGUUAUGGAUUCUGAGCAUUCCCUGCCUACUUGAACCAUUUCAUCAACCAGGAUGUAGAUGGCAUGGUUUCAAACAAUAUCACUGCAUCAAAGUGCAGUGCAGGAACACAGUUUUGGACCCCAGCUUUCCUGGAACUCAGAACUGCUCAGCCUGCUGGUGUCUGAAGCAAGCACAGUGAUGUUGGUGGUAUUUGGCCUUACUAAGGGAUGUCACAUAGAGCCCACCUGACUCAGGAUUAUGAGCACUACAUGAAAAUGCUUGAGGCUUAAGGUUCAUUUUUACCUAGAAAGUUCCAAAGGUGCCUGAGUUCUACAGAGCCCACGUUGCCUGUACAACAGGCAGCUAGGCUGGGCAGUGCCUUGUGUUCCAUGUAUUGCACUGACUGUUAUCUAUGGAAUGGGCCAGGGCAAGCUGUGCCAAGGAAUCACAUCAGGCUGAUAUCCAAUACCAGCUGGAGGAGGGUCAUGGUGCAUCCAUUUCCCAGCUGGCAAAGAGACUGCCCUUCCCCAGCAGCAUAUCAUGGCUUGGCUGCCCAUGGGACUUGCUGCUGCUCAUGCAGUGAUUGCUGCCUGCUCCCCUGGUCCCUCCCAAAUGUUGUUUGGGGAUGUCCCCAUCUCCAGCCAGCUGUGCUGAGAAUGCUGUGAGUGCUCCCUGCCUUCCCAGUACCUGGAUGCAACGGCUACAGUCUGGACAAACUUCAUGCAUGAGUCCUCCCAGUGCUGACUUCAGGGAGUAUCUGAGUCAAACUGCUCCUAAACUGAGCCAAUAUUUUGUUCCUGAUGGCCCAACAUUGAGAAGCAUUUAUGUGCCUGCAGGGAGACCGGAGCUGAACUGCAGUUGCACGCAGGCACCCAACACAGCCCACAGUGAAAAGUGAGCCAAAGCAGCACAGGGUAAGGGAGGGAUCACUUACUGGCCUGUGACCUGGCCCUGAUGUGUUCCAGAGAUGAUGUGACUGCACCGAUCCAUUGCUCUGGUGGGAAAUGGGGACACCUCCCUCUGCUUUCCUUCUUUCAAGAGCAGUGCUCCAUCCCCAAAGCCCACCUGAGAGCACUCAGUGCCCUCCAGCCCUGGUUUUCUCCCUGUGGUUUUCAGGUUGCUCCUGCAUUGAUCCCGCUGCCUUUCAUCUCUGUUAAAACCACUGCAGGUUUUAACUCCACUCCAACAGGUCUCUGUGUUUUAUUUAUUCCUGCUGGCAGGUGUAUUGAUGGCCAAGUUCCUCCUUUCCUGGUCCUUGCUCGAAAUUAGAUAAAAGACAUUAAAAAUGGA